ACCUGGGUAGCUUAGUUGGUUAAGCUUCUGACUUUGGCUCAGGUCACGAUCCCCGGGUC
rnacentral:tRNA from 1 species